UUUUAAUUUUUAUUUUGUAUUUAUUUGUUUUCCCCCCUUCUUCCCAAAAUCGCAUGUCUUCGCAGCCCGCCUGGGAGCCUCCCCCGGGCGGAGCUGCCGCUGAGCAUGCCUCUGCCGCAGGGACACCCAGUGUUACUCAGGCAUGAAAAAAAUAGUCAAGAACAGAUGGGAAUUUUGUCUUCUGUGUUGUGAAGUCCCACACAGUCCCCCUUCUUUUAUUUUUGUUUGCAAGAAGGAUUACUUCAGAAAGACCCCCAUUGUCAGAAGAAACAAUGGGUGAUGCUGGAACUGACUGGUAGCCAACUGCUGGUGGCGCUUUGCUCUGAAGGAAGAGACCAUGUUCAAGCACCUUUUUAAGACAUCUUCUGUUUUAAGCCUCCAAAAAGAUCAUCUAACAUAAUACUAGAUUUAAAUAGCAAAGCUGAAUUUGAGGUGAUUGUUCUCUGCUUGAUUUUGCUGCCUUGGAGAUCUGUGCAAAAUUGACCACUGAAUAGACAGUGUAGUAAAACAUUCAUGUGUUACAAUACAGUAUUUCAUGUCUGCAUUAACAUCAAAGAACUACCUCAGAUGAAUGAAGAUCACAAGGAUUGUUCAUGAGAUGAUUUGAAUUGUAAUGGAGGGACACUUCUGUGAAACUGCUAGAGGACUUCAGAGUAGGGCAUCUGACUUCUCUGUCUUCUUC
rnacentral:lncRNA from 1 species